CUUCCCUUCCCUUCCCUUCCCUUCCCUUCCCUUCCCUUCCCUUCCCUUCCCUUCCCUUCCCUUCCCUUCCCUUCCCUUCCCUUCCCUUCCCUUCCCUUCCCUUCCCUUCCUCCACUCAAACUCCCAGUUCCUGCAGAGCCCAGAGAGUGGAAGGCAGAUAACAAACUGCUGUUUAUAAGAUAACGCAAAAUUUUGGGGAUCUGAAAAGAGAAUUUCCUGCAGGACAAACAGAACAAGGAGAUGCAGGCAGGACACACUGCCCGGGGAUUCUGCACGGUGGGACAGAGCACAGCUGACUAGAGGUGGGGUUUAAGGAGGAAAUUCCUCCAGCAGAAUGUGCUGUUGAAGGCAGGUUGAUUUUUCACAUGGCUCUUAAUUGCAGUUAACAAAAAAAAAGAGUCAGAAGUCCCUGAUGAAGAACAGAUACAAAAGUGAUGUGUUGAAGUGAAGGGGACACAGAGUGGGAUUUCAGAGCCAAAGGCCAGCAAACCCUGUUGCCACAAGGAAAGAGAUAAACCUUGUGCCUCUUCUUGACUCUCCACCUCCUCCUGGGCAGUAACUUUGAGAGGGAAAUUUGGGCUUUUGGGUUCGAGAGUUUCACAGACAGAGGCAAAUGUGAGUGAUGCUCAGAUUCCCCCAGGAGAGUGCUGAAAGCAGAUCUGGGCUUUGUCAGCUGCCCUGGUCACUGGCCCAACAAAUUCAGAGUGCCUACUUGCUUCUGGGAUAGCCACUGCUACUGCAGGAAAAAUUAUAAAAAGCAGCUCCCAGGAAUGUGCAAUUUGUGCAGGUUGGGCAAAAAGUUUGGGAUGGUGAAGAGACCCCUGUGGCAGCUCCAGCUACACCAUCAUUUGCUGUGUGUUUGAGAAUAAGAAAUCCUCAUGAGAAGAAAUGGCAAAUUCUCUUGGCACGUGUGGUCCCUGUUCUACAGAAGGUGUUACCCUGGUUUUUGGAGGCUGUUUUGAGGUCUCAUCCUUCCCUGAGUAACAGAGGGUGCUGGGAGAGAGCAAACCCUACAUGGAUGAAGGGAAUCUUGAGUUACUAGAGCCCCUUCCAGGCUGUGAGUCAGCAGGUUUAUUUUAGAUCUUCAGAUGAGGCAGCUCUGUUUCCAUCCAUCCAUUGGGAAAUGAGUUUAAAUGACUGGGGGGAGGGAAAGGAGCUGAACCCCACUCUGGUUUUGUUUCUACUGGUCUUUUCCUUUUCUAAAGGAAAUAGACCUUUCCACACUGGUGGCUUGUUCUAGGCUCUUAAAUGCAUCAUAGAAAUAAAUAUAUUUAUAUUCAUGGCUUCAGUCAUUACUAUACUCAAUAUAUCAGCUCAGUGAGUAAUAACCUGGUUAGGG
rnacentral:lncRNA from 1 species